CAGGCCAUUUGUGUUCUUCUCUUCCCCAUCUCAGUAUAUGGAGUCUUCAUAGGGACUUCUUUUGACCCAGGAAGCCAGAAUGCAUGUGAUCUCCAGAGGCAAACUUUAAAAAUCCUCCAAAAUCAUCAACAUCUUUUCAAUGAUAGUGUAAGUAGUUUUUCAAGUGUUCUGAAUUUCUAUUUCAUUUACUAGUCAAAUUUGUUCUUGAAUAAUGUGGCAAUUAAAUAACAUUUUUUUAUCCACAGGUUACUAUUUCUCUUCCAAUAAGUAUCAGCAGAGAGUGUCAGAAGAGAGAUUUGGAAACAUUAAUGAAUGCCUCAAUGACAGCAUUUGAAGUGGUUGCUCAUCAAUUGAGUAAUGACUGCAGGAACCUGAAACACUCCAUUUAUAACAAUCUGAAGGAUAUACAGGAUUCUUUGCCUCCUGGAAACACCACAUGGGUAAGAGAUUUCCCAACCUUCCAGCACCUCAACUUAUAUCCCACAGCCUAACUGCCAACUUCCUUUGGAUUCCCCAAUAUCUGAUGUCAAUUUUAUGUUUUUCUACUAGGAAUCUGACUGUAGGAGUGCCACAUUUCCUUUGACAGAGUUUGUACCAAAACUAAUGUCAUUUUUAAAGUCCAUUCCCUUGUGCUUGUCUAAACACUAACAGAGCUAAAAUGGAUAAAGAAAAGGACAAGACUUCGCAGUCAGUUCAAUGACCAUAGAGACAUGAUCUUCCUCACCCUGCUGGGAAGGCCAACUCUUUCUGGACCUUGGGAUGUCUACCUUCAUUAAAGAUGCCAGAAAAGUUAAUCUCUUUUCAAAAGUUUAAAAAGAUGAAAUGUUCACCUGUGUUAUAUGAUUAUGAAUUAUUUAUUUAAAUUCAUAUUUAUGUCAUUUAUACUUAAGAAAACUUGAAUUUACAAAUUAUGAUUUGAUGUAGAAAUUGUAUUUCUGUUAUGUUUAUGUUUAAAAACUCUGUGUAACCAAUAGGCAUUUUCUAUAUGAAGUCUUAAGUAAAUAUUUAUGUUUCACCAUUCUAUUUUUGAUGUUAUUUGUCAAGAAUUUGAUUUUAUUUAUGAAUAAUAUUUCUCUACAAGAAACUAUUUCCAUGACUUUCAGAUUUACAGAAUUAUAGAAUUACUUUCAGAAUUAUAUAAUAUUCCUAUAUGACUUGAAAAAUUAUUUCUUAAUGUAUGUAAUUAGUAUUCAAGAA
rnacentral:lncRNA from 1 species